CAUUGGCAUCACGAGAGCAGCUCCCUCCACUCCAGCCCUUUUAGCGUGCCUUCCUUCCUUGGGCAGCCAACUGUAGAAUGAAGCCUCUAAAAACUGUGUAUAUCAAACUUGGUCAUGAUGUAUAAUCCAAAUAAAACUUCUGGGAAUCCAAAAAAGAGCUCCAGGACCCUGCUUUAAGUGUCACCAGACUGGCCACUGGGCCAAAGACUGUUCCAACCCAGGACUGCCUCUCAAGCCAUGCUGCAUGUGCAAAAGCCCUCACUGAGAAGUGGAUUGUGCUGGGGUGGCUGAGCCCAGCUCAGAGGUCCCCUCCCAGGACCACUUGCCUUGGAUCAGGUGCCCUGGAAAUCCUGAUUCAUUGGACCUCAGAUGAUUGACACACCUCAGAGGUCUCAGUUGCCCUUUGGACCAUCAUACCCAUCAAACUCUUGCAGUGGAAGUGGUUCAGAAAAAAGACUGGAGUGGAAUGAAAUAUUGUGAUACAUGAACUCAUUUGUUAGAGAUGUUGCAGCAACAAGGACAAAAGUUGGGCACUGAGAAUGUACAGACUGUAAAGUCUGGAUGAACAAAUGAACUUCAUGGCAAGAAGCAAAUGUCUAAGCUACUUCUGAUCACCUGUAUUAGUACUUGUGUUGAUGAAGAAUGUACCCUACGAUGAGGAGAAUCUCUAAAGAUCCAAUGCAAAGUGGAGAACUAUUGCCUUGUCUACGAGAGACAACAGCUGUCCAGCAAUGCCUACCUUUAACCAAAAAGGAAUGGGACCAUGAUGAUAGUGCCAGGAUAUUUAAAUUUUCAAGAGAAAUCAGAAAACCAUAUUCUUAAGCACAGUUUUCAAAUGUUUAAAUUUUGGUAACAAACUCUAACAGUGUUUAAAAUGAACCUAUGUUGUUUACCCAUAUCUGACAUAAUGAAAAUUCCUGAUUCUAUAUCUUUAAUUCUUAUCAUGAGGCUUUAACAAAAGAGAAAUACAAACAAAAUAUCAAUUAAAAAGGUACUACAAAGAUCUGGGAUCAUUACACAACAUACUCUUAACAGUGAUUUCUUUCACAUAAUAUAAUUAGAAUAGAGUUCAUGAGCAACAGGCACCAAAUAACAUUAGAACUGAUAACAUCAUUAGUGUAGUUUGAAUAAAUUAACAAAACCAGUGUCUAUGAUCUCAUUCCCUAGGAUGGCAACCUUUCUUUUUACAUAGAUGUAAAUGAUAAGGUGUAUAUUUCUUUGCCCUAAGACAGAAGUACACAAGUGGCUAGAUCCCUAGCAGAAAAUGAAUUGACUCAUCCUCAGUGAUCCAAUCCUCCCUCAUCACAAAUUAUGUGGCUGAAGAUUUGGUCUCACCAGGCUUGUGAAAAAACACUCAGACACUAAUUUUGCUUCCUUGUCUUCUCUUACCAUAUGCCUUUCCUCUGAGAUAUCAAUUUGCUCUCCAGAUCAAUCUAGGAAAAGUAUGCAUUUGUGGAGGUGUUUAUUAUAUUUUCAGUAGGCUCCCAGUGGAAAUUAGAAAGCUCUAAACUGGACUCCUGGUCCAAGCAUGAUUUCACAAUCUUGUUCAUUUUGAAUGUAAUGUGAUUCUAAAUUGAUCGUUUAUUUGCUUGUCCAGAAAAAGCUGAGUAGGAGGUGGGAAAGCAACAUAAUCAGAAGUAAAAAUGCUCAUGUCAUUAUCUCAAAUACACAUGUUGAUGAUAACUAUUCUGGGCACUUUAUUUGCUCUCCCUUCUUAUUUUCAAGGUUGUGCUUCAAUGACAAACCUCUUCUUACUAAAAAAAAAAAAAACAAAAACCUAUUUUUCUUUCAGAAAUUAACCAACUAUAUCACAGACUUGUGUGAGGUAUUGUUUCUCAUCAUAUGAAAUCGCUGAGUUGGUUUCCUCUCAAGUUCUGAAGAAAGCUAAAAUGCUCAAACAACUCUGCAUUCAAAUCUAUAUAUAUGUCCUCUUCAAGAAUAAAUAUUUACUUUAUUAUAACA